GGAAUAUUGCACAAUGGGCGAAAGCCUGAUGCAGCGACGCCGCGUGAGGGAUGACGGCCUUCGGGUUGUAAACCUCUUUCAGUAGGGAAGAAGCGAAAGUGACGGUACCUGCAGAAGAAGCGCCGGCUAACUACGUGCCAGCAGCCGCGGUAAUACGUAGGGCGCAAGCGUUAUCCGGAAUUAUUGGGCGUAAAGAGCUCGUAGGCGGUUUGUCGCGUCUGCCGUGAAAGUCCGAGGCUCAACUUCGGAUCUGCGGUGGGUACGGGCAGACUAGAGUGAUGUAGGGGAGACUGGAAUUCCUGGUGUAGCGGUGAAAUGCGCAGAUAUCAGGAGGAACACCGAUGGCGAAGGCAGGUCUCUGGGCAUCUACUGACGCUGAGGAGCGAAAGCAUGGGGAGCGAACAGGAUUAGAUACCCUUG
rnacentral:rRNA from 1 species